AGCUUGCUGCUUUGCUGACGAGUGGCGGACGGGUGAGUAAUGUCUGGGAAACUGCCUGAUGGAGGGGGAUAACUACUGGAAACGGUAGCUAAUACCGCAUAACGUCGCAAGACCAAAGAGGGGGACCUUAGGGCCUCUUGCCAUCGGAUGUGCCCAGAUGGGAUUAGCUAGUAGGUGGGGUAACGGCUCACCUAGGCGACGAUCCCUAGCUGGUCUGAGAGGAUGACCAGCCACACUGGAACUGAGACACGGUCCAGACUCCUACGGGAGGCAGCAGUGGGGAAUAUUGCACAAUGGGCGCAAGCCUGAUGCAGCCAUGCCGCGUGUAUGAAGAAGGCCUUCGGGUUGUAAAGUACUUUCAGCGGGGAGGAAGGGAGUAAAGUUAAUACCUUUGCUCAUUGACGUUACCCGCAGAAGAAGCACCGGCUAACUCCGUGCCAGCAGCCGCGGUAAUACGGAGGGUGCAAGCGUUAAUCGGAAUUACUGGGCGUAAAGCGCACGCAGGCGGUUUGUUAAGUCAGAUGUGAAAUCCCCGGGCUCAACCUGGGAACUGCAUCUGAUACUGGCAAGCUUGAGUCUCGUAGAGGGGGGUAGAAUUCCAGGUGUAGCGGUGAAAUGCGUAGAGAUCUGGAGGAAUACCGGUGGCGAAGGCGGCCCCCUGGACGAAGACUGACGCUC
rnacentral:rRNA from 3 species